GCCAACCCACUAACCGACGGGA
rnacentral:miRNA from 1 species